UUAGCUGUAAUAAACAGAACAACUCAAUAUAGAUACUGCCUCAGUCACCCCACAAGCCGCCUCGCUCUGGUUGUACCAAGGAAUGAAAUGGGUGGGUAUUUCUGUAGAACAGACAAUUGUUAUUUUGCUCAGAUAGGAGUCUGUUUUUUAUUGCACAAUAUGCCAAUAGGUCCCUGUUUCUGUUCCUCAUGUGCUGGGAGGUGGUUGUUUUUUUAUGUUCUUUAUGCCAAUACCUGGGCAGAGUUGCACUUGAAGGAUGAUGGGGGUUCUUGGAAGUGAAGGAGGACCUAGGGUGUCUUUGGUGGGAGGGAGGGAUACCACAGCUUAUAAAGCAUCCCCUACUUACUCCCAACUAAAGUAAGUGUCCAGGUGAACUGGGAGGGUUCUGUCCCUGCUGAGCUCAUGCAACAAGAUAAGGCCUAGAGCUACAACUGCACAGAGAGACCCCAAGCCAGUGCCAAGCUGCAAGAUGCCCUGGAUGUAACCAAUGCCACUGUGGAGAGUGUUAGUGCGGCACAACUGCCUGUGAACUCCUAUGUGCCAGCUCAGGUGGGCAUCCCGGGGUCACUGAGUGGAGGCUUCCCAGAUUAAGUGCAUGACUAUGUCUUGUGUCUCACAUGUGUUUUAUUUACUUUUCAUUUACUUCACCUGAUGGUGGGAAGUGAGAGCCGGGUGAGCAUUCUUGGCAUAAAACAAAUGUCAUUUUAUAUUCACUUCAUUUUAUGGCUAAACAUUAUAUUGCGGUGGGCAUUUACCUGAAUUGCAAUGGGAAGAAUGUCAUCAUUUGGGGAUUUCCAGAGCAGACACAUUGGGGCAGCGAUAUAUUGCCUUUCUCCAUUAAUAACAUUUGUAGGGAUUCCCUCAAGGAUCUUGUAAUCUGCCAGGAAGAUGUUUCCAUUCUGUUGAUAAAUAAAGAGAACAUUAAGAUACCA